GACAGAGGAGCCAAGCGUUGUCCGGAUUGACUGGGCGUAAAGCGCACGCAGGCGGGUGCGCGCGUGGGGUGUGAAACCUGGCCGCUUAACGGCCAGCGGCCAUCCCAUACGGCGCGCCUGGAGCCUUGCAGAGGGCGGUGGAAUUGCCGGUGUAGUGGUGAAAUGCGUAGAUAUCGGGAGGAACACCAGUGGCGAAGGCGACUACCUGGCCUGUUUCUUGACGCUGAGGCGCGAAAGCUAGGGGAGCAAACGGG
rnacentral:rRNA from 1 species